rnacentral:rRNA from 1 species
GAUGAACGCUGGCGGCGUGCCUAAUACAUGCAAGUCGAGCGAACGGACGGGAAGCUUGCUCCCCUGCUGUUGGCGGCGGACGGGUGAGUAACACGUGGAUAACCUACUUCUAAGACUGGGAUAAUUUCGGGAAACCGGUGCUAAUACUGGAUGAUAUUUUGAACGGCAUGGUUCAAAAGUGAUAGACGGUCUUGGUGUCACUUAUAGAUGGAUCCGCGCUGCAUUAGCUAGUUGGUAAGGUAACGGCCUACCAAGGCAACGAUGCAUAGCCGACCUGAGAGGAUGAUCGGCCACACUGGAACUGAGACACGGUCCAGACUCCUACGGGAGGCAGCAGUAGGGAAUCUUCGACAAUGGGCGAAAGCCUGACCGAGCAACGCCGCGUGAGUGAUGAAGGUCUUCGGAUUGUAAAACUCUGUUAUUAGGGAAGAAAAGAUGUAUAAGUAACUGUGGACAUCUUGACGGUACCUAAUCAGAAAGCCACGGCUAACUACGUG